rnacentral:rRNA from 1 species
UACAGAGGUCUCAAGCGUUGUUCGGAUUCAUUGGCGUAAAGGGUGCGUAGGCGGCGCGGUAAGUCGGGUGUGAAAUCUCGGGGCUUAACUCCGAAACUGCAUUCGAUACUGCCGUGCUUGAGGACUGGAGAGGAGACUGGAAUUCCCGGUGUAGCGGUGAAAUGUGUAGAGAUCGGGAGGAACACCGGUGGCGAAGGCGGGUCUCUGGGCAAUUCCUGGACGCUGAGGCGCGAAAGCGUGGGGAGGCAAACGGG